GGUUAAGCGACUAAGCGUACACGGUGGAUGCCCUGGCAGUCAGAGGCGAUGAAGGACGUGCUAAUCUGCGAUAAGCGUCGGUAAGGUGAUAUGAACCGUUAUAACCGGCGAUUUCCGAAUGGGGAAACCCAGUGUGUUUCGACACACUAUCAUUAACUGAAUCCAUAGGUUAAUGAGGCGAACCGGGGGAACUGAAACAUCUAAGUACCCCGAGGAAAAGAAAUCAACCGAGAUUCCCCCAGUAGCGGCGAGCGAACGGGGAGCAGCCCAGAGCCUGAAUCAGUGUGUGUGUUAGUGGAAGCGUCUGGAAAGGCGCGCGAUACAGGGUGACAGCCCCGUACACAAAAAUGCACAUACUGUGAGCUCGAUGAGUAGGGCGGGACACGUGGUAUCCUGUCUGAAUAUGGGGGGACCAUCCUCCAAGGCUAAAUACUCCUGACUGACCGAUAGUGAACCAGUACCGUGAGGGAAAGGCGAAAAGAACCCCGGCGAGGGGAGUGAAAAAGAACCUGAAACCGUGUACGUACAAGCAGUGGGAGCCUCUUUAUGGGGUGACUGCGUACCUUUUGUAUAAUGGGUCAGCGACUUAUAUUCUGUAGCAAGGUUAACCGAAUAGGGGAGCCGAAGGGAAACCGAGUCUUAACUGGGCGUUAAGUUGCAGGGUAUAGACCCGAAACCCGGUGAUCUAGCCAUGGGCAGGUUGAAGGUUGGGUAACACUAACUGGAGGACCGAACCGACUAAUGUUGAAAAAUUAGCGGAUGACUUGUGGCUGGGGGUGAAAGGCCAAUCAAACCGGGAGAUAGCUGGUUCUCCCCGAAAGCUAUUUAGGUAGCGCCUCGUGAAUUCAUCUCCGGGGGUAGAGCACUGUUUCGGCAAGGGGGUCAUCCCGACUUACCAACCCGAUGCAAACUGCGAAUACCGGAGAAUGUUAUCACGGGAGACACACGGCGGGUGCUAACGUCCGUCGUGAAGAGGGAAACAACCCAGACCGCCAGCUAAGGUCCCAAAGUCAUGGUUAAGUGGGAAACGAUGUGGGAAGGCCCAGACAGCCAGGAUGUUGGCUUAGAAGCAGCCAUCAUUUAAAGAAAGCGUAAUAGCUCACUGGUCGAGUCGGCCUGCGCGGAAGAUGUAACGGGGCUAAACCAUGCACCGAAGCUGCGGCAGCGACACUAUGUGUUGUUGGGUAGGGGAGCGUUCUGUAAGCCUGUGAAGGUGUGCUGUGAGGUAUGCUGGAGGUAUCAGAAGUGCGAAUGCUGACAUAAGUAACGAUAAAGCGGGUGAAAAGCCCGCUCGCCGGAAGACCAAGGGUUCCUGUCCAACGUUAAUCGGGGCAGGGUGAGUCGACCCCUAAGGCGAGGCCGAAAGGCGUAGUCGAUGGGAAACAGGUUAAUAUUCCUGUACUUGGUGUUACUGCGAAGGGGGGACGGAGAAGGCUAUGUUGGCCGGGCGACGGUUGUCCCGGUUUAAGCGUGUAGGCUGGUUUUCCAGGCAAAUCCGGAAAAUCAAGGCUGAGGCGUGAUGACGAGGCACUACGGUGCUGAAGUAACAAAUGCCCUGCUUCCAGGAAAAGCCUCUAAGCAUCAGGUAACAUCAAAUCGUACCCCAAACCGACACAGGUGGUCAGGUAGAGAAUACCAAGGCGCUUGAGAGAACUCGGGUGAAGGAACUAGGCAAAAUGGUGCCGUAACUUCGGGAGAAGGCACGCUGAUAUGUAGGUGAAGUCCCUUGCGGAUGGAGCUGAAAUCAGUCGAAGAUACCAGCUGGCUGCAACUGUUUAUUAAAAACACAGCACUGUGCAAACACGAAAGUGGACGUAUACGGUGUGACGCCUGCCCGGUGCCGGAAGGUUAAUUGAUGGGGUUAGCGGUAACGCGAAGCUCUUGAUCGAAGCCCCGGUAAACGGCGGCCGUAACUAUAACGGUCCUAAGGUAGCGAAAUUCCUUGUCGGGUAAGUUCCGACCUGCACGAAUGGCGUAAUGAUGGCCAGGCUGUCUCCACCCGAGACUCAGUGAAAUUGAACUCGCUGUGAAGAUGCAGUGUACCCGCGGCAAGACGGAAAGACCCCGUGAACCUUUACUAUAGCUUGACACUGAACAUUGAGCCUUGAUGUGUAGGAUAGGUGGGAGGCUUUGAAGUGUGGACGCCAGUCUGCAUGGAGCCGACCUUGAAAUACCACCCUUUAAUGUUUGAUGUUCUAACGUUGGCCCCUGAUCGGGGUUGCGGACAGUGUCUGGUGGGUAGUUUGACUGGGGCGGUCUCCUCCUAAAGAGUAACGGAGGAGCACGAAGGUUGGCUAAUCCUGGUCGGACAUCAGGAGGUUAGUGCAAUGGCAUAAGCCAGCUUGACUGCGAGCGUGACGGCGCGAGCAGGUGCGAAAGCAGGUCAUAGUGAUCCGGUGGUUCUGAAUGGAAGGGCCAUCGCUCAACGGAUAAAAGGUACUCCGGGGAUAACAGGCUGAUACCGCCCAAGAGUUCAUAUCGACGGCGGUGUUUGGCACCUCGAUGUCGGCUCAUCACAUCCUGGGGCUGAAGUAGGUCCCAAGGGUAUGGCUGUUCGCCAUUUAAAGUGGUACGCGAGCUGGGUUUAGAACGUCGUGAGACAGUUCGGUCCCUAUCUGCCGUGGGCGCUGGAGAACUGAGGGGGGCUGCUCCUAGUACGAGAGGACCGGAGUGGACGCAUCACUGGUGUUCGGGUUGUCAUGCCAAUGGCACUGCCCGGUAGCUAAAUGCGGAAGAGAUAAGUGCUGAAAGCAUCUAAGCACGAAACUUGCCCCGAGAUGAGUUCUCCCUGACCCUUUAAGGGUCCUGAAGGAACGUUGAAGACGACGACGUUGAUAGGCCGGGUGUGUAAGCGCAGCGAUGCGUUGAGCUAACCGGUACUAAUGAACCGUGAGGCUUAACCUU
rnacentral:rRNA from 1 species